rnacentral:tRNA from 2 species
GCUAUCGUAGCUCAGCCGGUAGAGCACUACAUUGGUAAUGUAGAGGUCGCAGGUUCAAGUCCCGUCGAUAGCUCCA